AGCGAACGCUGGCGGCAGGCCUAACACAUGCAAGUCGAACGAUCCUUCGGGAUAGUGGCGGACGGGUGAGUAACACGUGGGAACGUGCCCUUUGGUUCGGAAUAACUCAGGGAAACUUGAGCUAAUACCGGAUGAGCCCUUGGGGAAAGAUUUAUCGCCAUUGGAGCGGCCCGCGUUGGAUUAGCUAGUUGGUGGGGUAA
rnacentral:rRNA from 1 species